rnacentral:lncRNA from 1 species
UUCUAAACAAUUAUAUAUACACACACACAAAGAAUAAAGUCUUUCUCUCUCUCUCAAUUUCAAAUAAGCAGACAACACACACACUUACAACUAGCAACCCUCAACACAAAUACCCCCUCUCGAUCUAUCUCUGCAACACAAAAAGAGAUUUCAACAAUCAGAGCAUAACACUACUUCUUCUUCUCCCCUUGUUCAGAAUCGGCGACAACACCCAUACCCCCUCUCGGUUUCUCUGUGACCCCCAAACAAGAGCCGGCUGCCGGCGACACCCACCCCCCCCCCCUCCGAUGAUCUCUGCUCCGGCAACGGCCACCAGCCUUCUGGUUCUUUGACACACCAACCCACACAACCCCCCUGUGUCCACGAUGAUCGCCGGCCACUACAGUUGGUGGCGGCGCGUGAAAUAGCGAGCGGCGACAAGAGAGAGAGAGAGAGAGAGAGAGAGAGAGAGAGAGAUAGACUGGGAGUAGAGAUAGACUGAGGAGGUAGGUAACGACGUCAUAUGGCGGCGGCGGUGGUGAACGACGGUUCCGGCGGCAGUGGAUGACGUUGAAAACGAAAGGUCCGGUCCAAGAGAUGGUCGGGUGGUUCAGUUGCGGGUCAGUCUUGGUUGCACAAGUUCGGGUCAACAAGAGGUUCAUAUAGUUCGGUUUCGGGUCUCGGUUAGUUCAGCCGCGGUCAAACACAACUCAGAUUUCAGUUCAGGCUCUCGGGUCUCUUGGUUCGUGGUUCGCGUAAGAUUCGGCUCGGCACGGGUCAACUCGGUCAAACCGAGUCAACUCAGCUGACUCGGUCAACUCAGUCAGCCAACUCGACAUAUCGAUACGAAAGAUUUGGUAAAGAUAACGACACGUUCAUAGUUUAUUAUAUAUAAUUAAUGGUUGUUUACUUACGCGAAAUCGAGCUCCCGAACCGAUCAAACACAUGAAUUAUUAGUUAAAAGUACUUGGAUUAUUAUUUAGCUUGUUUAUAUAAAUUGAUUAUAUACAUAUACGUUGUUGAAUCUUGAUUGAGUUUUGAAAAAUAACGACAACUUAUGUUGUCGGGGGCGUCCAAAAACAGAGGAAACUCUGCCCGUUUU